AUGGGACUGAGCUUGGUGGGUGCGCAGCACGCUUUGGGAACCUCAUCUGGCUUCAAAAGGGUUCGCGAUCGUCUGGAGGUGGACAGCGACAGCGACUUCGAAGAUGAAUCAACUGUACUGGAUAAGGUCCAAUUGGAUGUGCCACUGCUGCCAGUUAUCCUUCAUGUCCAGGAUGCUGCUAUCAUCCUUGAGGAUGUGCCGACUUUCCUUGAGGAGGCCACUGGUAAUUGGCAGCUGAUACUGAUUAGGUUCAGCCCCCUGUACUGUGGGCCUGUUGUGAUCAGGAACAAUGCCGGUCCGGUGGCUAAAGCCUGGAGGACUUUCCAGUUCAUCAGCCCCAUUAUCACCUACAUGCGUGGGGGAUCCCAGCAGGUGGUGGUGAGGAUGCACCAUGUGAGUAGGGUUCGAGGCCUGGAGACUCAACUGGUGUGGGCCAUCUCCAAGGAGACAGCCAGGCUUAGUCCAGAGGGCAUCCCCUACUGUGCCACCAAGGUGCAGUCCGUCACUUGGAUCCAGUAUGUGGCUGGCAGGGUGACCCAGUAUGCAUCUCACCUCGGCCAGGAGACGUCUGUGGACGUGACGCUUGGCUGCUACCAGCAGACUGAUGUCUCGGUGGUGUACGCUACUCUCCACAUGGGGCUGGAUGGGCUGCUCUCCUCCUCGGCGUGGUCGGAGGCUGCCUCCGUCUCUACGCCCACCAAUCAGCAGUUCACUGAGCCAGAGCCUGAGGGCCACAACUGCUAUGAGGGCUGGGAGGAGGACCUGCUGCCUGAGGAGAGGGAGGUUCCUCUGCUAAACCUCUACCUUACCACCAAGAGAGUGGAGGACAUCGCCCUGAGGCUCGUCUCCCUGCGCCAGGCCUUCACUACCCUGCUUGGUUCCACCCUGAGCAGGAACCAUCUGUUUGUGGCAGGAAAGGUCCUAAUGGGCGCACUGGUUCAGGCCCACCACAUGGACGAGGCCGAAUUCAUCCGUGCCUAUAACGACUUUGUGGACUACCUGAGUGACCCCUCCAAGCAGAUUGACAUUGAGAGGGAGCUGGCUGAGGCAAAGAUCCAUCAUGUUAACCUGAUAGAUGUCCUCUUUGAACUGGUGAUGUUUGGGAUGAUGACAGCUCAGAAGUCCAUGAUGGUGCACCCUGGUGGGUUCAUGGAGCGUCUGUACGCUCUCCUGUACUCCUUCCUGCCCGCUGCUGCCAGCAUUGAGCCAAAGGCGAGAGAUACCUGCUGCUGCUCAAUGAUUCUUAUGACACUUUGCCACCUAACAGGGAUCUAGACACUAAUGCACUACAUUACUUUGCACUGAAUUUUACAUUUUGAAAUAAAAUAACUAGUAGUUCAAAGCAUUUGUCUCUGUCUUUUCAUUUACUUGAUCAUUUCAUCACUAUUACCUCUUCCUGGAGUUAUGAGGCUAAUAUUACAUGAACAAUUAUGCUUUAUUCUUUGCAUAUGGAAAUAAACA
rnacentral:lncRNA from 8 species